CAGUAGCCACGGGAAUACGAAGGGGGCUAGCGUUGCUCGGAAUUACUGGGCGUAAAGCGCACGCAGGCGGCUCGAUAAAUUAGAAGUGAAAGCCUUGGGCUUAACCUGAGAAUUGCUUUUAAGACUGUCGAGCUAGAAUCCAGAAGAGGGUAGUGGAAUUCCGAGUGUAGAGGUGAAAUUCGUAGAUAUCGGAAGGAACACCUGUGGCGAAAGCGGCUCACUGGACCAUUUCUGACGCUGAUGCACGAAAGCUAGGGGAGCAAACAGGAUUAGAUACCCCUGUAGUCCCUGUCUCUUAUAC
rnacentral:rRNA from 1 species